rnacentral:rRNA from 1 species
UGGCGAGUGGCGAACGGGUGAGUAAUACAUCGGAACGUGCCCAGUAGUGGGGGAUAGCUCGGCGAAAGCCGGAUUAAUACCGCAUGAGACCCAAGGGAGAAAGCAGGGGAUCGUAAGACCUUGCGCUACUGGAUCGGCCGAUGACAGAUUAGGUAGUUGGUGAGGUAAAGGCUCACCAAGCCCGCGAUCUGUAGCUGGUCUGAGAGGAUGAUCAGCCACACUGGGACUGAGACACGGCCCAG